rnacentral:rRNA from 1 species
AUUGAACGCUGGCGGCAGGCUUAACACAUGCAAGUCGAGCGGGGGAGGUUGCUUCGGUAACUGACCUAGCGGCGGACGGGUGAGUAAUGCUUAGGAAUCUGCCUAUUAGUGGGGGACAACAUUCCGAAAGGAAUGCUAAUACCGCAUACGCCCUACGGGGGAAAGCAGGGGAUCUUCGGACCUUGCGCUAAUAGAUGAGCCUAAGUCGGAUUAGCUAGUUGGUGGGGUAAAGGCCUACCAAGGCGACGAUCUGUAGCGGGUCUGAGAGGAUGAUCCGCCACACUGGGACGGAGACACGGCCCAGACUCCUGCGGGAGGCAGCAGUGGGGAAUAGUGGACAAUGGGCGUAAGCCUGAUCCAGCCAUGCCGCGUGUGUGAAGAAGGCCUUUUGUUUGUAAAGCACUUUAAGCGAGGAGGAGGCUCUUAAGGUUAAUACCCUUGAUGAGUGGACGUUACUCGCAGAAUAAGCACCGGCUAACUCUGUGCCAGCAGCCGCCGUAACAC